CCGCGCCCAGCCAACUUACUUAUUUUUCUAAAAGCAAACAGUGAAUGUUGAGGGCUCCUUAAGAGCAGAGGUGAGUCAGCAGUGAUUUUUACUGAGUUUUUUAUGGGGACACAUUAUAGUUAACAUUCUCUACACCGGAUGUCCUCUAAUAGGGAUGGAAAUUUAUGAGCCCAGAGAUAAGACAAAUUGAGACUUUAGGAGAGGGCCAAUUCUCUGAAGUCACUCAGAGCUGAUUUCAUGAGUGCUAUUUGUACAUCCUCAAGCCUGCUAUUUAAAGAGAAUUGUUCAGUUUUGACAAAAUUGCUCUGAACAUGAACAAUUUCCUCCUAUUAUGGAGUGUCUCAUUUUCAGCUGCUUAUUGCAUUCCUACUCAUGCAUUCCCUCUUCUCUUGCUCUCUCUCAGACCCCCUGAAGGCCGGAGACGUAGGAGGCUCUGCAGCGGAGGGCGUGGGGGAGGCAGCACAUUUGCUAACUAGCGCCAGCCCAGGAUGGCUCACCUCAGCUCUGCCUGGACUGCCCCAGCAUGAAGCUGACUCACCCACUCCCCAGGACAAUUGAGCACCAUCCUGCUUGGCCAAGAGGCACAGUCUGAAAAGGGAGGACUGUGCCAGAGUUGGAAUAACAGAUUGGGGAGGAUAAAGAGACUACUACCCUUUUUCCACAAAAAUGUGCAAGAUGUGAUGACAUAAAGCACAUGGUUGGAGUGUAAUGGUGUGAUCAUAGCUCACUGUAACCUCUGAACUCCUGGGCUAAAGCAAU